CAUUGUUGACACUUUUUCUGCAGAAAGUGCAACAAGUGUAUCAAGUGACACGUAGGUCUGGCUCUUAGAAGUCUGUGAACCCUUCUUCACCUCAUUAAUCAUUGGCUGACCUAUAGAGACUCAGCAACCAGAAAUAAAGGCAUGAGGUCAAACUGCACAGGGCUUGGGAAGGCUGUCUGACUUCAGAUCCUUCAGGCCCUCAGACCUCACCGUUCAAGGUCAGACUGACUGGGAAAGGAGUGGGAGUUUUCCUGGGGCGUGGAGUGUGGACACCAUCAGAACCAGGCUGAGGAAUACCAGGAGGUAUUUCUCCUGCAGAACCUGCUGGCUGGCCCCCGCCCUUAUCUCUGGACUGCUUUGGAACCAGCGCGGCUUCUGUGUGGCAGCUACUGAGUGCACGCUCGACCUUUGCCACCCUCCGCGCUGAUGGAAAC
rnacentral:lncRNA from 1 species